rnacentral:rRNA from 1 species
AUUGAACGCUGGCGGCAGGCUUAACACAUGCAAGUCGAGCGAGCGGCAGACGGGUGAGUAAUGUCUGGGAAACUGCCUGAUGGAGGGGGAUAACUACUGGAAACGGUAGCUAAUACCGCUUACCAUCAGAUUUGCCCAGAUGGGAUUGGUAGGUAGGUGGGGUAAUGGCUCACCUGGGCGACGAUCCCUAGCUGGUCUGAGAGGAUGACCAGCACAACGGGAACUGAGACACGGUCCAGACUCCUACGGGAGCAAGCAGUGGGGAAUAUUGCACAAUGGGCGCAAGCCUGAUGCAGCCAUGCCGCGUGUGUGAAGAAGGCCUUCGGGUUGUAAAGCACUUUCAGCGAGGAGGCGUUACUCGCAGAAGAAGCACCGGCUAACUCCGUGCCAGCAGCCGCGGUAAUAC